CAACUAUAAAAAAAGAACUGCAAGCACAUCUCUAGCCAUUUUGGAGAGAAUAGGAAAUCUCUCACUAUGGCUCUUCCACCACUUUAACACAUCAAAAG